rnacentral:rRNA from 1 species
UACGUAGGGGGCAAGCGUUGUCCGGAUUUAUUGGGCGUAAAGAGCGUGUAGGCGGCCGCACAGGUCCGUUGUGAAAACUGGAGGCUUAACCUUCAGACGUCGAUGGAAACCGUGCGGCUAGAGUCCGGAAGAGGAGAAUGGAAUUCCUGGUGUAGCGGUGAAAUGCGCAGAUAUCAGGAAGAACACCCGUGGCUAAGGCGGUUCUCUAGUACGGCACUGACGCUGAGACGCGAAAGCGUGGGGAGCGAACAGG